AAUCUGGUUGAUCCUGCCAGUAGUCAUAUGCUUGUCUCAAAGAUUAAGCCAUGCAUGUCUAAGUAUAAGUUCUAUACAGCGAAACUGUGAACGGCUCAUUAUAACAGUUAUGAUUUCCUAGCCGGUCAGUUAUUCAUUGGAUACCCAUGGUAAUUCUAGAGCUAAUACACGCUUACAGACCCAACUUCACGGAAGGGUUGCACUUAUUAGAUACCGAACCAGCCCAAGCUUUGCUUGGUUUUUGUUGAUUCAUAGUAGUCUGGCGAAUCGCCUAUCGAGGCGAUGAGGCUAUCAAGUUUCUGACCUAUCAGCUUCCGACGGUAGGGUAUUGGCCUACCGUGGCUUUAACGGGUAACGGAGAAUUAGGGUUCGAUUCCGGAGAGGGAGCCUGAGAAACGGCUACCACAUCUAAGGAAGGCAGCAGGCGCGUAAAUUACCCAAUCCUGACUCAGGGAGGUAGUGACAAGAAAUAUCAAUAUAAGACUUUUAUGUCUUGUAAUUGGGAUGAGCGAAACAUAAACCGCUUCUCGAGUAUCAAUUGGAGGGCAAGUCUGGUGCCAGCAGCCGCGGUAAUUCCAGCUCCAAUAGCGUAUAUUAAAAUUGUUGCGGUUAAAACGCUCGUAGUUGGAUAUCUGCUAAGGGGUUCCGGUCCUUCCCAGUGAAGAAUACGCGGAAUUCUUCUUGGCAUUUAUUCAGGGAAGGUGUUUGCACUUUGUUGUGUGUCACGUGAUCUGAAUUUUUACUUUGAGGAAAUGAGAGUGUUUCAAGCAGGCUUUCGCCGUGAAUAUGAUAGCAUGGAAUAAUAGCACAGGACCCCUCUCCCAAGCUGUUGGUUU
rnacentral:rRNA from 1 species